UCCCUGUUACCAGGGCAGUCUGAAUAGAAAAAUACAACUAUUCAUAAGGGUUGCGCUCGUUGAUGGACUUAACCAAACAUCUCACGACACGAGCUGACGACGGCCAUGCAUCAUCUGUCACCGAGUUCCCCGUACUUACCUGAAUAUUCUCUAUAGCUUCUACUACAGUAUUCAAAUAACUACGGGGCACUCAAUCCUUUCGGAUUAAUUCUCGGGAUGUCAAACCCUGGUAAGGUUCUUCGUUUAUCAUCGAAUUAAAGAACACGCUCCACCGCUUGUGCGGGUCCCCGUCAAUUCCUUUGAGUUUUAGCCUUGCGGCCGUACUCCCCAGGCGGGGCGCUUAAUGCGUUAGCUACGGCACGGAUCCCGUGGAAGGAAACCCACACCUAGCGCCCACCGU
rnacentral:misc_RNA from 1 species